ACACUGCUGAUAAGUCCCAAACAGGACGAAACAGCUGUCCGGUGG
rfam:Echinostoma caproni strain Egypt genome assembly, scaffold: ECPE_scaffold0003985